AGAGUUUGAUCAUGGCUCAGAACGUACGCUGGCGGCACGCCUAAUACAUGCAAGUCGAACGAAGUAGCAAUACUUAGUGGCAGACGGGUGAGUAACAUGUAGGUAUCUUCCCUUUGGUGAGGAAUAACACGAGGAAACUUGUGCUAAUACCUCAUAAGUCUUUACGGAGAAAGCUUUAUGCGCCAAUGGAUGAGCCUGCACUUGAUUAGUUUGUUGGUAGGGUAAUGGCCUACCAAGACAAUGAUCAAUAGCUGAUUUGAGAGGAUGAUCAGCCACAUUGGGACUGAGACACGGCCCAAACUCCUACGGGAGGCAGCAGUAGGGAAUCUUGCACAAUGGGGGAAACCCUGAUGCAGCGAUGCCGCGUGAGUGAAGAAGGCCUUUGGGUUGUAAAGCUCUUUCGUCGGGGAAGAAAAUGACUGUACCCGAAUAAGAAGGUCCGGCUAACUUCGUGCCAGCAGCCGCGGUAAUACGAAGGGACCUAGCGUAGUUCGGAAUUACUGGGCUUAAAGAGUUCGUAGGUUGUAAAAAAAGUUGGUGGUGAAAUCCCAGGGCUUAACUCUGGAACUGCCAUCAAAACUUUUUAGCUAGAGUAUGAUAGAGGAAAGCAGAAUUUCUAGUGUAGAGGUGAAAUUCGUAGAUAUUAGAAAGAAUACCAAUUGCGAAGGCAGCUUUCUGGAUCAUUACUGACACUGAGGAACGAAAGCAUGGGUAGCGAAGAGGAUUAGAUACCCUCGUAGUCCAUGCCGUAAACGAUGUGUGUUAGACGUUGGAAAUUUAUUUUCAGUGUCGCAG
rnacentral:rRNA from 1 species